AUGGGUCUCUUGGAAGUUCAUCUAUUUAAGAAGAGCAAUAAUGCUGAUGCUGCUGUCCUAAGCUGGAACAGCAGAUAUCAGAUAACCCUAGGAGUUGCCAGAGGGUUGUCCUACUUGCAUCAGAGUUGCCACGAAUGCAUCAUACACUGUGAUGUUAAACCAGAAAACAUACUUGUGGACACAUCAUUUGUUCCUAAAGUUGCAGACUUUGGGUUGGCAGCGUUUGUGGGAAGGGAUUUUAGCCGAAUUCUAACUACAUUCAGAGGAACUGCAGGCUAUCUUGCCCCAGAGUGGCUUACCGGAGUUGCUAUUACACCGAAAGUUGAUGUUUAUGGCUUUGGCAUGGUCCUGCUGGAGAUCUUAUCGGGAAGGAGGAAUUCACCUGAAAUAUACAACACUAGCAGCAGCGGCAGUUACCAUGUUGAAUAUUUCUCGGUGCAAGCCAUCAGCAAGCUUCAUGGGGGAGAUGUGAAGAGUUUGGUGGAUCCACGGUUGCAUGGUGACUUCAAUUUGGAAGAGGCUGAAAGGGUUUGCAAAGUUGCAGGUUGGUGCAUCCAAGAUAAUGAGUUUGAUCGGCCAACGAUGGGUGAAGUGGUCCGGGUUCUCGAGGGUCUACAGGAGAUUGAUGUGCCCCCGAUGCCAAGACUACUUGCAGCUAUAACGGCACAACCUGGUGCUGCAAUUUGA
rnacentral:rRNA from 1 species